UACGUAGGAUGCGAGCGUUAUCCGGAAUUAUUGGGUUUAAAGGGUGCGUAGGCGGCCAUUUAAGUCAGCGGUGAAAUUUUGCAGCUUAACUGUAACAGUGCCGUUGAUACUGUUUGGCUAGGAUUUGGUUGUAGUGUGCGGAAUGUGUGGUGUAGCGGUGAAAUGCUUAGAUAUCACACAGAACACCGAUUGCGAAGGCAGCACACUAAGUCAUUAUUGACGCUGAGGCACGAAAGUGUGGGGAUCAAACAGGAUUAGA
rnacentral:rRNA from 1 species